AUGACCUUGGAGGUGUCUAUGGACAAGCCGGCUCUUCGGCUUAGAAAUGGAGAUGAGCACCAACCCCCAGAGUCAGACAUGACUGGACUUAACGUCAGGGGAAAACCUUCUUCAAGUCAUUUCAGACUUUGGGCAAGCUUAAGUCUAAAAUUAUUUAUUUAUUCAUUUACUACAUUUAUUUACUACAUUUAUAUCCCGCCCUUCUCACCCCGAAGGGGACUCAGAGCAGCUGUAUGUACAUACAAUAUAUUAUAUUAUUAGCAUUGCACAAUAUUAGCAUUAUAUAUUACUAUAUUGAACUAUACCACUAUACUGUAAUAUUAUAUGUAAUAUAUAACAUAUAAUUAAUAUUAUUAUAUGGUAUUAUUAUUAGUAUUAUAUUGUAUAACAUAAUAUUAUUAUCAAUAUUAUAUGUAUAUACAAUAAAUUAUAUUAUUUAAAAUUAUAUAAAAAUAUUAUAUUAUAAAACUAAGGGUGGGGGCCAGGUAAAUGACCUUGGAGGGCCGCAUCCGGCCCCCGGGCCUUAGUUUGGGGACCCCUGGUUGAGAGGGAGAGAUAGAGACCACUUUACUCAAGGUAGGAAGCUCUAGAAGAAAUAAAAAGUACUUUUUCACACAGUAUACAGUUAAACUGUGGAAUUCACUAUUAAAAGAUGUAAUAAUGACUACCAAGGUAGACGGCUUUAAAGGGGGAUGCAUUACAUUCAGAGAUGUUAUGCUGUCAAUAACUCCAGUCAGGAUAACCAUAAAUCACCCAGGGUGUUAAAGGCUUCUUUUCCCUUAGCUUCCCCACUUCCUCAUAACCUCUUUCCAACCAUUAUCCAAAUAGCUAUUGCCUCGCUCAAGCCACAAAGCUAGUGUCAUUGAAUACAAGUAAUUGUGAGAUUUUAAUCUAGUGAAACUGAAAACUUGCACUUGCCUCACAAAAAGUAGUCUGCAGUUGUUUCCAUAACUUUGUUUCUGACCAUUUGGAUUAAUAGUAAACAUUCUAUGGUUCACAUUGGAUCAUCCAGUAAACGUCAAAGCCAUUACUGCAAGAAAUGCAAUGCUAUAUGGAUUGUUGAAAAAACUGUACGGUGUAAGAUGCAGAACAGUGUAAAAUCCCAGCUAUGGUUGGGUGAGGUAUCAAGAGUUAUGACUCAUAAUAUAUACAGCUGACAUAACAGAAGUAUACACAAAGUUUGAUGAAAUGCAGAGAACAUUCCUAGGCAUCUCUCUUACUGUAACUACAGGUGCAUGCAAGCAAAACAGAUGCUCUAUAGCAAAUAAUGCAGUCUCUCGAAAAUGCCUUAGAGGGAAUAUAAACAGUUUUGAAUACAUUAAAAAAUAGACAGUCUGUCUUGUUUAGCUCUUUGUUUGCAUGAUCUUUUGGACAGCUCAAAUUCUGUGAGCUCUACAAUUGAAAAGGCAAAUCUAUGGAUCUCUCCUGCACUCUACAAAGUGAACUGUUUUCAUGUUACGAAAGGAGACCAGAAAAAACAUAUCUUCAUACUAGAAACUCAGUUCUUCAACUUAUAUUUUAUUAUGGAAAGCUGUGAUGAGCAGGGAUGGAUGGGGAUGGAUUUUCACCUUUCAGCUCAAAUGGAGUCUCCAUUUUUAAAGCACCACAAACAGAACUGAGAGCAAGAAAGUGCUACACAGUCUGACUGUGAACAGAACAGGAUUGGAUAGACCUUUGGUUUGCCAGCAUGGGCCUUAUGUUCUUAUUACAAUAGAAUUGUGGAAAAGAGAAGAAAUCUGCAGUUUCUUAGAAACUGAAUGUGUAAUCAUGUUUGCAUGAUAAAAAAUCAGGGAGAUAGAUGCAAGCAACAGCAGCUAUGGCCAUUGUCACCACUACAGAAAACUAGAAACCUCUUUACAUAGGACUUUUUUUGCUCAGUUUUUCCAGUUGUGGACGGGCCUGGAUGGAGGUUGCCGAGCAUCAUCAGAAAACACUCAGCAGGCCCUGUCCACAUUCUUCCUGAAGUGGAGGGGAAACAUCACAAGAUGCUUCCUCUGCCACCAUGGGGAGCUACCUGCACUUUCUUCUUCUUUCCCCCAUAUGAUGGGGGGAAGGGCGACGGGGCAACAUGCAUUGCCACCCUUUCUCCUAUCUGAUGGGGGAAGGAGGGAGGCGGUAUGGGGCACCAUGAGGCACUCCGCGUGCUUUCCCUUUCAUUGGUGACUGCCACAAAAGGGCAUGGCUUCAGAGGCCAUGUGAAGAGGUCCUAGAUCAACCUCCAUUGCCAAUGGACCAGUUUUUAUUUUCCAUUGUUGUUUAACAAUAAGAAGAAAACCCUAAAUUAGAAACUUGGUUUUAGAAAGUAGAAAAGACUAAUACCCUUCAGCUGCUUCUUUGUUAACAUUCUGUUUCUUGUUACCUUGUUGGGCACUAAAUAAACGGAAAAACCCCAAAUUAAUAAUUUUGAAUGUCUUUAAUAUACCGAUUUGCCUGCAAGCUGUAGUCUUGGAAAAUCCUAAUUAUAAAGUAAUUCAGUUUGUUUAUAACAUGCAUUUGCUUUUAAUUUUACUGUAUUCUACUGCUGGAAAAUCCUUUUGACAUCUGGUUUUGGGAAAUCCUAGCAGCCAGCUUAUACGUUACAAUCAUAUGCCUUGGGAUAAAGAAAAAACUGGGCAUUAAAGUAUGGAGAGAAUUCCAAAAGCCAACCACAAUAUGGUAACUUUGUUACUUUGCAAUGGACUCACCGACUACAGCCUUUGGCUAUUUUUCAAUGGUAAUUUUACCUUUAGUGUAUUGACAGAAACGAGAGAAAACCUAUGCUUUAUAUACAAUAUGCGCUUGCAGUUAUGUUGAGAAACAUUGUUUAUACCAAAAAUCACAGAUUUUAAGUGAGAUAAAUGCAUGUCAGAAGAAGAAAUUAACGUAUUCAUUGUUCCUUGCAGGUAAGAAUGAUUUAACACAAAACAUCACUAUACAGCAUUUAAGAUAUUGAAGCAUUAUCAGAAGAUCCAUGCAAUAUUACACUAUUAUAAAGAAUCUAUGAGGACUUACCAUGUAUCAAUGGACAUUGCCA
rnacentral:lncRNA from 1 species